GUGUUCUUUUCAGCAGCACACAUUUUAAAAUUUGAAUGUUACAGAGAAGAUGAGCAUGGCUCCUGAGCAAGGAUGACACACAGGUUUGUGUGACAUUUGUGUGGUUC